UCCUGGAUUGUCUGUGUACUGCUGUAUUGCUCUCCCAGGAGACCUCAGGGUGAUUGAAGUCUCCCAUGAGAACCAGGGCCUGCGAUCUAGUAACUUCCGUUAAUUGCCAGAAGAAAGUCUCUUCCACCUCAUCCCCCUGGUCUGGUAGUCCAUAGCAAACUCCCACCACGACAUUACCCUUGUUCCUCACACUUCUAAACUUAAUCCAGAGACUCUCAGGUUUUUCUGCAUGUGGACCCCAGCCA